rnacentral:misc_RNA from 1 species
GAUAUAUAUACACCAAAGAAGUGGAAGAAGAGAACUUUUCUUCCUUAAGUUGACUGGUCAAAAUCCCAAAAAGAAUUGAUCGGUUUCUGUAGCGAUAGCUUGUCCCUUUGUCUCUGAUUGUUACUAUGUUGACUGCGGAAUAUGGCAGUAGUAGAAGCAGAAACAGAGUAUAACAAGUAAUUUUAUAAUAUUAUUGGCUAAAAAAA